UUGCUCUUCUUGGAUGAGUUGCGAACGGGUGAGUAACGCGUAGGUAACCUGCCUUGUAGCGGGGGAUAACUAUUGGAAACGAUAGCUAAUACCGCAUAACAAUGGAUGACACAUGUCAUUUAUUUGAAAGGGGCAAUUGCUCCACUACAAGAUGGACCUGCGUUGUAUUAGCUAGUAGGUGAGGUAACGGCUCACCUAGGCGACGAUACAUAACCGACCUGAGAGGGUGAUCGGCCACACUGGGACUGAGACACGGCCCAGACUCCUACGGGAGGCAGCAGUAGGGAAUCUUCGGCAAUGGGGGCAACCCUGACCGAGCAACGCCGCGUGAGUGAAGAAGGUUUUCGGAUCGUAAAGCUCUGUUGUAAGUCAAGAACGAGUGUGAGAGUGGAAAGUUCACACUGUGACGGUAGCUUACCAGAAAGGGACGGCUAACUACGUGCCAGCAGCCGCGGUAAUACGUAGGUCCCGAGCGUUGUCCGGAUUUAUUGGGCGUAAAGCGAGCGCAGGCGGUUUGAUAAGUCUGAAGUUAAAGGCUGUGGCUCAACCAUAGUUCGCUUUGGAAACUGUCAAACUUGAGUGCAGAAGGGGAGAGUGGAAUUCCAUGUGUAGCGGUGAAAUGCGUAGAUAUAUGGAGGAACACCGGUGGCGAAAGCGGCUCUCUGGUCUGUAACUGACGCUGAGGCUCGAAAGCGUGGGGAGCGAACAGGAUUAAAUACCCUGGUAGU
rnacentral:rRNA from 1 species